rnacentral:tmRNA from 1 species
GGGGGCGUACUGGUUUCGACUUGGGAGAUACGCCAGAGGCGGCAUGCCGAGGAUGGUUCGUUGGCCUCGUUAAUCACUCGAACCAAAAAUAACUGCUAACGAAGAAUUAGCCCUCGCGGCCUAAGGCCACGACGUUCACCAUCGCACACCUGCUCAGAUGGAGGAACGCUGCAGCAGGUUAGAUUGACGGCGGAGACCGCGCGUCGUUGGUCGAAAUAUUUCAUGCGGACUAGGCAGUGCGAAUCGUGUCAGAUCGUAAUCGCAUAGCAGAAAACUCUCUUCUGACUAAGCAUGUAGUCGCGGCUGGUAGAUUUGCCAGGGACGCGGGUUCAACUCCCGCCGCCUCCACCA